rnacentral:snoRNA from 1 species
ACGACCUUACUUGAACAGGAUCUGUUCUAUAGGUUCGUACCUCUGUAUCCUUUAGCACAAAGGAGACAGGAUCUCAAGUCUGGUUGAUGAAGCACGACCUUGUGAUCUGAGCGUGAUUAACAGCUUCCUUGGUCUUUCGGGUCCAGUCGAAGCGGUAGAGGAUCGUUCUCAGCUUUGGUGUUCAUCUUAGCUGGGGAUGGUCACAAGGUUGUCUGACAGACU